rnacentral:rRNA from 1 species
GACGAACGCUGGCGGCGUGCUUAACACAUGCAAGUCGAACGAUGAAACCUAGCUUGCUAGGUCGAUUAGUGGCGAACGGGUGAGUAACACGUGACUAACCUGCCCCUUUCUCUGGGAUAACGCUCCGAAAGGAGUGCUAAUACCGGAUACUCACACCGAGGCACAUGCCUUGGUGUGGAAAGUUUUUCGGAAAGGGAUGGAGUCGCGGCCUAUCAGCUUGUUGGUGAGGUAACGGCUCACCAAGGCGACGACGGGUAGCCGGCCUGAGAGGGCGACCGGCCACACUGGGACUGAGACACGGCCCAGACUCCUACGGGAGGCAGCAGUGGGGAAUAUUGCACAAUGGGCGCAAGCCUGAUGCAGCGACGCCGCGUGAGGGAUGAAGGUCUUCGGAUUGUAAACCUCUUUCAGUAGGGACGAAGCGAAAGUGACGGUACCUAAAGAAGAAGCCCCGGCUAACUACGUGCCAGCCGCCGCGGUAA